rnacentral:rRNA from 1 species
UGGGGAAUAUUGCACAAUGGGCGCAAGCCUGAUGCAGCCAUGCCGCGUGUAUGAAGAAGGCCUUCGGGUUGUAAAGUACUUUCAGCGGGGAGGAAGGGAGUAAAGUUAAUACCUUUGCUCAUUGACGUUACCCGCAGAAGAAGCACCGGCUAACUCCGUGCCAGCAGCCGCGGUAAUACGGAGGGUGCAAGCGUUAAUCGGAAUUACUGGGCGUAAAGCGCACGCAGGCGGUUUGUUAAGUCAGAUGUGAAAUCCUCGGGCUCAACCUGGGAACAGCAUCUGAUGCUGGCAAGCUUGAGUCUCGUAGAGGGGGGUAGAAUUCCAGGUGUAGCGGUGAAAUGCGUAGAGAUCUGGAGGAAUACCGGUGGCGAAGGCGGCCCCCUGGACGAAGACUGACGCUCAGGUGCGAAAGCGUGGGGAGCAAACAGG